CCUACGGGAGGCAGCAGUGAGGAAUAUUGGUCAAUGGCCGGAAGGCUGAACCAGCCAAGCCGCGUGAAGGACGAAGGUGCCAAGCAUUGUAAACUUCUUUUGUCAAGGGACAAAAUCAGGCUCGAGCGCCUGACUGAGGGUACUUGAAGAAAAAGCCUCGGCUAACUCUGUGCCAGCAGCCGCGAUGAUACGUGGGAUGCGAGGGUUAUCGGGAGUUAUUGGGUUUAGAGGGUGCGUAGGGGGACUGUUGAGACAGCGGAAAAAGCCCGGGGCUAAACCCCGGCGAGCCGUUGAAAAUGGCAGACUUGAGGUGACGAGAGGUAUGCGGAAUGCGCAGUGUAGCGGUGGAAUGCUUAGAUAUUACGAAGAACACCGGUGGCGAAGGCAGCAUACCGGCGGCGAUCUGACGCUGAGGCACGAAAGCGUGGGUAUCGAACAGGAUUAGAUACCCGAGUAGUC
rnacentral:rRNA from 1 species